rnacentral:lncRNA from 1 species
GACGGAUAAUUAUAGAACUUUUUCCACGUGGCUAAUUUCAGUCCCCCCCCCCUCUUUCUCUUCCUUCUCCUCUCUUCCUCUCUGCCUCCCUCAAUUGAGAAAGGCUCAGCACUACCCACUGACAGUCCGAUUCUUUCACCAUUCACCUCCAGGUCUACUAAGCAUUUAGAAGGUACAGGCUGUCUGCGUAACGUUUAAUCAUGAUGUCACUAUAUCGUAUUUUACUAAGGGAUGCUGGCAAAAGGGAAAGAGAAUCCAGUUGAAGGCAGGCUGCAGUGAUAUGCAAAGCCUCAGAUGAUUACCAUUUAAGGAUGUAAAAUAGGACAUUCGCCAAUAAUGGUGACGGUCUGCUGUGAGAGAGCAUUUCCGUAAGCUGGAGUCGUGUGUGUUCCUGUAAGUGACGCUGAAGCACUUCCGACUUCACCCCAACUGUGAGGUCUGAUACAAAAUUUGGGAAAGUAGCUUGCAGUCAAGGGGGUUCCUAAAAUUGCUGGACCUUCACGUCCUAGAGGAAUUCAAACCUCAGGACAUCCAGUUGUCAGAACAUCACAGAAUUCUGAAGACAGCUACAGACAUUGAAAGGCUAACUUGAGGAGAAUAAGAAUGCUCAUGGCUUUGAUUCUUAUCGGUAUGAUAACAUGCAAAUAGAGGCUCCUUUACAAAUGCACGCUUUAAGAAAAUUUAAAUGGUAACUUAUUAUGGAAGACUAGUUUAUUUUAUGACAUGCAUACUUCAAAUCAAUUUUAUAUAAAUUUAAUGUAAAUUUAAAUUUUAUAUAAAUUUUAUUAGUUUUACAAUACUAAUUAAUUUAAGAAACAUUUAUUGAGUAUCUACUCUGUGCUAAUCCUAAGGAAACUGUAAUUUUAAAAAAAGGCUUUCUUUUAUGUCGCUUAAGGUGUUUUAAAAGUAACUUUUUAUAUGAAAGUAAUUUCAAACUCAUAGAAAUAUUGCAAUACUACAAGCAGCAUACCUUUUAUCCAGAUUUAUCUAGUGAAAAUAUUUUGCCCCAUUUGUUUUAUUUUUGCUCUUUCAAUAUCUUUUGCUCAGUAGACAGAUAGGUAGGUAGAUAGAUGAUAGAUAGAUGACUAAUUAAUAGUUGAUAGAUACAUAGAUAGAUACAUAGAUAGAUAGAUGAUAGACAAUUUUGAUGAACUAUUUAAAAGUAAGUAUCAGGGCCUGCCUGGUGGAGCAGGGGUUAAGUUUGCACGUUCCACUUCGGUGGCCUGGGGUUCACCAGUUCAGAUCCCGGGGGGACCUACACACCACUUGUCAAGCCAUGCUGUCACAGGCCACAAUGAGGCGGCAUCCCACAUGCCAUAACCAGAGGCACUCACAGCUAGAAUAUAUAACUAUGUACUUGGGGGCUUUGGGGAGAAGAAGAAAAAAAAAAGGAAAAUUGGCAACAGUUGUUAGCUCAGGUGCCAAUCUUUACAAAAAAAAGUAUAUUAGUGACAUGUAGUCUAAUCAGUAAAAAUAUAUUUAUAAAAACAAGUGAAUCUUAAGCAUGUGUCUUACAGAAGUGGAAAAUCAUUUAGAUGGCAUAAUAAACCAAUAAGAAUCUAAAAGUAAGCAUAUUUUCAAUUAUGUACCUUUUCAGAUAAAAUAUGACUAAAAUUCCUAGUUUAACUCCUAUUAAAUCUGCUAUUAGGUCAUAAAUAUCUUAAGUCAACAGAUUUAAGGCAGAUCAAAUAAAAGUAUCCUACGGCACAAGUCUAAUUUUAGACAAUUUAGCUUUUUAUUUUUAGUUGCACAUAUUCUACACCUGACCCACACCUUUUUCAACUCAUUUAUUCCUUCCUGUGGCCUGUCAUAUAGAGGACUGCAUCAGAAUUAGGCAACAGGUUGCUCGUUCUGAUCAGCCUCUAAUUACCCCAAAUGCCAAUGCCUGGUUUUCUCACUUGUAAAGUGAGAUGUGAGUUGGUCAAUAUCCAAAACGGCAGAUUGGAUUGGUCAUCAGCUAAAAACAGCUACACUGUAUUCUUUGUUGAGAAGGAAUGAAGGCUUAGCUGGGAAUAGUAUUGAUCACUUAGUCUCCAUGGAAGCUGAAAGAUGGUCUAGUGGCAUGUGUCCCAAAUACGUGCUCCCAAUGAUCUUUAAAUGUUAACUGUGUGCGUAUGUGUGUGUAGAAGUGAAGUUUGUCACAUAUGUGUGAAUCUAUUCUCAAGUCCCUAUGCUGUUCUGUUGUUCUGUUUCUCUUAAUACCAACAUUAUGCUGUCUUGAUUACUACAGCUUGUAUGUCUUGAAAUCAGGUAGUGUGAGACUCCCAAAUUUGUUCUUUUCAAAGUUUUUUUUCCUAGUCUAUAUUCUUUAAAUUUACAUAUGAAUUUUAGAAUAAUUUUAUCAAUUUUGCCAAAAACCCAGUUGAGAUUGUGACUGGCAUUGUGUUGAAUCUUUGGAUUGAUUUGGGAGCACUGACAUCUUGGCAAUACUUAGUCUUCCAAUCCAUAAGCAAAGCAUACCUCUCUAUUUAUUUAGGUCUUCAAAUUUUCUCAGUCAUUUUUUUGUAAUUUUCAGUGCAAAGGUCUUGCACAUCUUUUGUCAGGAUUAUCCCAAAAUACUUGGUACAUUUGACGUUAUUGUUAUUGAUGGUGUUUUCUCAAUUUCAAUUUUCGAAUAUUUGUUGCUAGUAUAUAGAAGUACAAUUUAUUUUUGUAUAUUGAUCUUUUAUCUUGCUAAAUGCACUUAACAGUUUUAGUAGUUGUUUUAUAUAUUCCACUGGAUUUUCUACAUGAACGAUCAUGUCAUCUGAAAAUACAGUUUUGAUUCUUUCUUUCCAAUCUGGAUAUUUUUAAAAAAUUCUCGUCAUUUCACUGGCUAGAAUCUAGUACAAUGGCUCUUAGAAGAGCUGAGAGCAGACAUUUGUCUUGCUUCUGAUUUUAGGGAGGAAGAAUUUACCAUUAAGAAUGCUAUUAGUUGUGUAUUUUUAUGUAGAUGCCCUUUAUCAGAUGGAGGAAAUACCUUUCUUUUCUUAUUUUGCUGAGCAUAUUUUCUUUUUAAUUCAGGAAUACACGUUGAAUUCCAAUAAAUUUUUUCUGCAAAUAUUGAAAUGAUCAUGUUUUCUUUUUAAAUUGGUUACUAUGGCAUUGAUUUUGAAUGUUAAGACAACCUUACGUUUUUAGAAUGAUUCCCCUUGGUCACAAUGUAUUAUCGUUUUUAAUUAGUUUUGAUACAAUUUUCUAAACACAUAAACAUUUAGGGUUUUAUUUAUUUAUUUAUUUUUUGGUGAGGAAGAUUCGCCCUGAACUAACAUCUGUUGCCAAUUUUCCUCUUUUUUUGCUUGAGGAAGUCUAGCCCUGAGCUAACAUUGGUGCCCAUCUUCCUCUUUGUAUGUGGGACACCUGCACGGCUGAUAAGUGGACUAUGUCCGCACACAGGAUCCAAACCUUCAUACCUGGAUCACUGAAGCCAAG